GGGUGGCCGCAGAGACCAGCGAGAAGCGACUGUUUACUAAAAACACAGGUCCGUGCGAAGCCGUAAGGCGAUGUAUACGGACUGACGCCUGCCCGGUGCUGGAACGUUAAGGGGACCGGUUAGCUGCCUUUCGGGGUGGCGAAGCUGAGAACUUAAGCGCCAGUAAACGGCGGUGGUAACUAUAACCAUCCUAAGGUAGCGAAAUUCCUUGUCGGGUAAGUUCCGACCUGCACGAAUGGCGUAACGACUUCUCGACUGUCUCAACCAUAGGCCCGGUGAAAUUGCACUACGAGUAAAGAUGCUCGUUUCGCGCAGCAGGACGGAAAGACCCCGGGACCUUUACUAUAGUUUGAUAUUGGUGUUCGGUUCGGCUUGUGUAGGAUAGGUGGGAGACUGUGAAGCGGCCACGCCAGUGGUUGUGGAGUCGUCGUUGAAAUACCACUCUGGUCGUGCUGGAUGUCUAACCUGGGUCCGUGAUCCGGAUCAGGGACAGUGUCUGAUGGGUAGUUUAACUGGGGCGGUUGCCUCCUAAAGAGUAACGGAGGCGCCCAAAGGUUCCCUCAGCCUGGUUGGCAAUCAGGUGUUGAGUGUAAGUGCACAAGGGAGCUUGACUGUGAGACCGACGGGUCGAGCAGGGACGAAAGUCGGGACUAGUGAUCCGGCAGUGGCUUGUGGAAGCGCUGUCGCUCAACGGAUAAAAGGUACCCCGGGGAUAACAGGCUGAUCUUCCCCAAGAGUCCAUAUCGACGGGAUGGUUUGGCACCUCGAUGUCGGCUCGUCGCAUCCUGGGGCUGGAGUCGGUCCCAAGGGUUGGGCUGUUCGCCCAUUAAAGCGGUACGCGAGCUGGGUUUAGAACGUCGUGAGACAGUUCGGUCCCUAUCCGCUGCGCGCGUAGGAAUAUUGAGAAGGGCUGUCCCUAGUACGAGAGGACCGGGACGGACGAACCUCUGGUGUGCCAGUUGUUCUGCCAAGGGCAUGGCUGGUUGGCUACGUUCGGAAAGGAUAACCGCUGAAAGCAUCUAAGCGGGAAGCCUGCUUCGAGAUGAGUAUUCCCACCCCCUUUGAGGGGUUAAGGCUCCCAGUAGACGACUGGGUUGAUAGGCCAGAUGUGGAAGCCCGGUAACGGGUGGAGCUGACUGGUACUAAUAGGCCGAGGGCUUGUCCUCAGUUG
rnacentral:rRNA from 1 species